rnacentral:rRNA from 1 species
UACGUAGGGUGCAAGCGUUGUCCGGAAUUACUGGGCGUAAAGGGCUCGUAGGCGGCCAACUAAGUCAGACGUGAAAUCCCUCGGCUUAACCUGGGAACUGCAUUUGUGACUGUAGAGCUGGAGUGCGGCAGAGGGGGAUGGAAUUCCGCGUGUAGCAGUGAAAUGCGUAGAUAUGCGGAGGAACACCGAUGGCGAAGGCAAUCCCCUGGGCCUGCACUGACGCUCAUGCACGAAAGCGUGGGGAGCAAACAGG